rnacentral:rRNA from 1 species
GACGAACGCUAGCGGGAUGCCUUACACAUGCAAGUCGAACGGCGUGGCGAACGGGUGAGUAAUGUAUCGGAACGUGCCCAGUAGCGGGGGAUAACUACGCGAAAGCGUAGCUAAUACCGCAUACUAUUGGAGCGGCCGAUAUCGGAUUAGCUAGUUGGUGGGGUAACGGCUUACCUAGGUGACGAUCCGUAGCUGGUUUGAGAGGACGACCGGCCACACGGGGACUGAGACACGGCCCAGACUCCUACGGGAGGCAGCAGUGGGGAAUGUUGGGCAAUGGGGGAAACCCUGAGCCAGCCAUGCCGCGUGUGCGAUGAAGGCCUUCGGGUUGUAAAGCACUUUUGGCAGGAAAGCGGUACCUGAAGAAUAAGCACCGGCUAACUACGUGCCAGCAGCCGCGGUAAUUC